rnacentral:rRNA from 1 species
AGAGUUGAUCCUGGCUCAGAAUGAACGCUGGCGGCGUGCUUAACACAUGCAAGUCGUACGAGAACUCUUCUGCUUGCAGAAGAUAGUAAAGUGGCGUACGGGUGAGUAACGCGUGGGUAAUCUACCUCCGAAUUGGGGAUAACAUUGCGAAAGCGAUGCUAAUACCGGAUAAUAUCUCGGGGUCUUCGGUCUUCGGGAUCAAAGGUGGCCUCUGCAUGUAAGCUACUGUUUGGAGAUGAGCUCGCGUACCAUUAGCUUGUUGGUAGGGUAAUGGCCUACCAAGGCUACGAUGGUUAGCUGGUCUGAGAGGAUGAUCAGCCACACUGGAACUGACACACGGUCCAGACUCCUACGGGAGGCAGCAGUGAGGAAUUUUGCGCAAUGGGGGAAACCCUGACGCAGCAACGCCGCGUGAGUGAUGAAGGCUUUCGGGUCGUAAAGCUCUGUCAAGUGGGAAGAACUUGCCCGAUGCAAACACCAUCGGGCACUGACGGUACCACUGAAGGAAGCACCGGCUAACUCCGUGCCAGCAGCCGCGGUAAUACGGGGGGUGCAAGCGUUAUUCGGAAUCAUUGGGCGUAAAGGGCGCGUAGGCGGCUUCUUAAGUCAGAUGUGAAAGCCCGGGGCUAACCCCGGAAGUGCAUUUGAAACUGGGAGGCUUGAGUAUGGGAGAGGGAAGUGGAAUUCCUGGUGUAGAGGUGAAAUUCGUAGAUAUCAGGAGGAACACCGGUGGCGAAGGCGACUUCCUGGACCAAUACUGACGCUGAGGCGCGAAGGCGUGGGUAGCAAACAGGAUUAGAUACCCUGGUAGUCCACGCAGUAAACGUUGUUCACUAGGUGUAGCGGGUAUUGACCCCUGCUGUGCCGCAGUUAACGCAUUAAGUGAACCGCCUGGGAAGUACGGCCGCAAGGUUAAAACUCAAAGGAAUUGACGGGGGCCCGCACAAGCGGUGGAGCAUGUGGUUUAAUUCGACGCAACGCGAAGAACCUUACCUGGGUUUGACAUCCCGAGAAGUCUCUUGAAAGAGAGAUGUGCCCUUCGGGGAGCUCGGUGACAGGUGCUGCAUGGCUGUCGUCAGCUCGUGUCGUGAGAUGUUGGGUUAAGUCCCGCAACGAGCGCAACCCUUAUCUUUAGUUACCAGCAUUCAGUUGGGGACUCUAAAGAUACUGCCCCGGUUAACGGGGAGGAAGGUGGGGAUGACGUCAAGUCCUCAUGGCCCUUAUACCCAGGGCUACACACGUGCUACAAUGGGCUGUACAAAGGGUCGCGAGCUC